rnacentral:tRNA from 1 species
GCUUAGUUGGUAGAGCAUGGCAUUUGCAAUGCCAAGGAUCGUGGGUUCGAUUCCCUC